rnacentral:tRNA from 2 species
GGACCUUUAGCUCAGUUGGUUAGAGCAACCGGCUCAUAACCGGUUGGUCCGGGGUUCGAGUCCCUGAAGGUCCA